GACGAACGCUGGCGGCGUGCUUAACACAUGCAAGUCGAACGGUAAGGCCCUUCGGGGUACACGAGUGGCGAACGGGUGAGUAACACGUGGGUGAUCUGCCCUGCACUUCGGGAUAAGCCUGGGAAACUGGGUCUAAUACCGGAUAGGACUCCUGGCUUCAUGGUUGGGGGUGGAAAGCUUUUGCGGUGUGGGAUGGGCCCGCGGCCUAUCAGCUUGGUGGUGGGGGAAUGGCCUACCAAGGCGACGACGGGUAGCCGGCCUGAGAGGGUGACCGGUCACACUGGGACUGAGAUACGGCCCAGACUCCUACGGGAGGCAGCAGUGGGGAAUAUUGCACAAUGGGCGCAAGCCUGAUGCAGCGACGCCGCGUGAGGGACGACGGCCUUCGGGUUGUAAACCUCUUUCAGCUAUGACGAAGCGCAAGUGACGGUAGUAGCAGAAGAAGGACCGGCCAACUACGUGCCAGCCGCCGCAGUAA
rnacentral:rRNA from 1 species